UGCUUAUAGCCACCAGUUUUAAUACUCAGAUGUGAAUGGGGAGUGUGUGGGGGGGGGGGGUCAAGAAAUUUUUCCAUUUCGGGCUGCGAAUGCUGCAGCCAAACCCCAGGAUUAGCAGUGAAAAGGGAAUCAGCCGGGACUGGUGGCUGCUGGGCGCUGGUGCAGGACCCUCUGGCAUCGCUGGGCCAGUGCCAGCUCAGAGUGCAGCUUUGCCCGCCUCAUAGGGGCCGUGCAGGGCAGGGGGGGAGAGCUCUGGGUUAUGGGCAGAGGCAGCACCAACCCUGUCCAGCAACUGGUAAGACAAAUGAUCCCCUCGUGGUCCCUGGGCUCUGCGACCGGGGCUGAUGGAUGCUCUCUUCCGGAAUGCCAGGCUCCCAUUUGCUUUCUGCGCUUUGUUUUUGUUCCUAACAUCAGUGCAACGAGGGAGAAAAAAGAAGGAAUGAAAGCUCUACAGCUCCUUUCAGACAGUAAAAGAAAUCCCGUCCAGUUGAAAAGCUAAUUAAGAAACAUCACUUCUUCAAAGGCCAGAAUUGGAAACAGCCGCGUGGAGACAUAAUGGGAUUAACGUGGAUCAGGGGAUUACAGGCGGCCAGGACAGCGACGCUGCGGCCCCACACAUCACCACUGGCCCUCGAUGGUGGAAGAGGACAAAACCAAAACACUUCAAUAAGAUGAAAAGCCAGAGGGAUGCGCUGGGAACAACGAGUCGGCCGUGGUGAGGGUGAGGAGCUGGGAAGCCCUCGGCCCCCGGCACAGCGGCUGCAGCCACCCGGGUGCUGUGGGACGGGGCUUCGCAUCCGACACCUUUCCCCAAAUAGAUGGAAAAAAGCAAAUGCUGCCUUUCCCUCCGGGCGAGCGGCCAGGGCAGCCCUGAUUGCUUCCUUGUCCCGCCGCAGCCGGCAAUUAACCCUCAGCAAUGGCCAGCGGUGACGGCGUGACCCCUCCACCGAGCCCACGCACCGGCCGGGGUCACCGCCGGUGCCACGGGAUGGAGAACAGCAGCUCGAGGUGGGGCAGUGGAACAGCAGCAGCCGUGAAAUCCUUUGAGGCUGUAAAGCCAGCAGCAGGGACUCGCCGUCAGUGUCAAAGGAAUACUGUCCCUGCUGGAAACCCCUGGGCAGCACAAGUGCCAAUUAGGAAACAUCUGUUCCUCCUGGUCCAGGCGGGCUGUGAGCAAGAGCAUGGCAACGUAAUGGGAUUAAAAUAUAUCACCGGAUUAGGGCAGUGCUGCGCAGAUCAGCGGCCAUGGAUGUUCUUAGGAAAUCAGGGAAAAAAGGAAAAGCAAAUUUGUCUCUUCAGCAUGGACAUGUUUCUUUUUUACUUGUACCUUAUGUACUGGUGCCAGACCUUCUCUCUGCACUGUUCAGUUCAACUAAAAAGACAGCCUGAGCUGAGUUUAAGCAAUUUUAGAUGAAAUGGCUACGUGAGCAGCUGGUCCCUCUGGUCCUCACUGCUGCCACUGUGGCUGUGGCUGCAGGACAGGAAAAGUGGCCUUACCCGGGUUCCUGGGGUAUAAUAUGGUGCCUGUCACCUCUGUACGGGUUGGAAGGUGUGUAAUGAGCUGGAUUUGGUCCCUUAGGCAGAGCUUUGGGGUCCAGUGGUGGUGGGAGGCUGCAGGAGCGGGGCUGUGUCUGGAGCAUCCCUUCGAGCAGCAGCACAAGACUCUUCCCCUCAGGCCGUGUCCUCUGCUCAUAACACGUGGCCUGCACAAAAACCCUGAGCAAAGCAUCAAGAAAGAUGCUCAAGGUAGGGAGAGAAAAACGAUCAGAGCAAGAGAGAGACCUGCACCAUACCCCAGGGCCCCUGCUUGCAGUGUGCAGCCCACCUGCCCCCUCCUGCGCAUGGGGCCACCCCAGGCUCCCCCAUCGCUCGCAUCCCGGACACAGCUUGGCUGGUUUGGGGGUUCCCAUCCCUCCUGCCACCCCACCCAAGAGUUCUACCAGCCAUGGGGCACCGCAGCCCUGCAGACAAUAGGGACAUUCUUCAGGAAACCAAACCAAUAACGCGGAGAGCCGCCCGCUAUUUUGGGACUUCAUAUGCUCUAAGGCAAAUGUCAUUGGUGUGUAACAUCCAUUUAGGGAGCCGCGUAAUGAAGUCGUGCAUCAUGAGGAGGGACCUGCUCGCUUAGCAACCUUCUCCGUGUGUGACGUCUUCCCCUGCAGGACGGGAUUGCUCCUUCGCCAGCCCGAGCACAAAAUGCCACUCACAGCUGCCAUAAGAGGCGCUUUGAACUCAAAGACUCUGCAGCCCCCACCAACGCCGAAUUCCUGAGGUGGGCUUGUGCCCUCGGUCAGAGCCCAGGCAGCCUCUGUGCUGUGAGGGGUUUGGGUGCUGUGAGCCCCUGACCUACACCCGUACCUGCAUGCGUUGCCUUCCCAACAGAGCCCUCGGCUCUCUCAGGGAUGGAAGAAGCUGGGGUACUGUGAGAGGGACAGAGCCCUUUCAUUUUGGGGGCUGAACGGGACAGCUGCCACCUCAGUACCCAUCGAGAGCUUCCUCACUGCCGUUCAUGCCGCUGCAGAUUUUGGAUGUGUCUCGCGGGGAGGCGAGUGGGUGCAGGGGUUCACUGGGUGUACUGGGCAUACUGGGUGCUCAGAGCACCCAUGUGCAUUGGGUGCUCUGGUGUGCUGGAUGUACUGGGUGCUCUGGGGAGUCUGGGUUUGCUGGACACUCUAGGUUUUCUGAGUGCUCUGGGCACAGGCCGGCAGCAGGAUGAGGACAGGGAGGGAGAGGACGGCUGUAUCGCACAGAGGGAAUGUCUGUCCUGGCUCUCUCCAGGUUUCCGGAUGAUAAGCAAUUAUGGGAGAGAUUUACAGCAGAUUAAGUCAGAAAGCAAAGUCCAUUAUCUGCCCAGAUGAGCUCCAAAAGUAGAGGCCGUGUGGAAUGAGAAAUGGGGCACUUUAACCAUUACCAUCCCUCUGGGCACCGACCUGGGCUCCGAAGGACAAUGGCUCUGCUCCUGUGGGGAUGGUGGCUGCUGCAGAUCCACACGCUGCCAUUCCCUUCCCACAGUAACGGCAUUUUGGUGCCUGAAUUUGCUCUGAUUCCCUUAUGGAAUGCAUGUUGCUUCUAGGGGAUCUGCUACUCCCUUCCACUGGAGGUGCCUCUUCCAAGCCCCCAGGGUCAAGCUGAGCUGCAGAUGCUAAAUCCAUGGGAAUGCAUUUUAGCAGAAAGAUGCUUUUGAGGUCACUGAGGGUUUAUUCACUGUGCUUUUUGAUGUGUAAAUCUCUCUGUGCAUUGUCCCUGUUCCCCCGGGCAGGCUGUCCUGGGGGACCUGCAGCCACCGGGUGGAUGUGCCCACUGACCCACCCAUGGACAGCCCCGUGGCCACUCCCACGUGCCUUGGGCAGUGGCCUCACUGGAACCACGUUCCCUCAGCUGUGAAAUGAAGGCUAAAGGCAGAAGAAUUCAAACAAGGGCCCUUUUGAUGUGACAGAAGUCCAAAUAAACUCCACGCCAUUUUCAUCUCAA